rnacentral:rRNA from 1 species
UACAUGUGGGGCAAGCGUUGUUCGGAAUUACUGGGCAUAAAGGGUGCGUAGGCGGUUUGUUAAGUCACUGGUGAAAGUUUUCGGCCCAACCGGAAAAUUGCCUGUGAUACUGGCGAACUUGAGUGCGUGAGGGGUGGGGGGAACGAGCAGUGUAGCGGUGAAAUGCGUAGAUAUCGGGAGGAACACCAGUGGCGAAGGCGACUACCUGGCCUGUUCUUGACGCUGAGGCGCGAAAGCUAGGGGAGCAAACGGG